UUAUUUAUCUAGAAUAAAUCCUUAUCUGGUUAUGACAGACUCACAUUUUAUUGCCUAUAAUCAUUUGGUAUCGCAAGUCGGAUUAUAUUAUUGAUACUAAAAAAUAGAGGACAACUAUUGCAAAUAAUAACUUUUAAAGA
rnacentral:pre_miRNA from 13 species